GAGAGAGGCUCGUCAGCAAUGAAGACUGCUAAUCUUCACCUCCUUGGUUAGACCCCAAGGCUCACUCG
rnacentral:tRNA from 1 species